UACGUAGGGUGCGAGCGUUAAUCGGAAUUACUGGGCGUAAAGCGUGCGCAGGCGGUUUGUUAAGAUAGGCGUGAAAAUCCCCCGGGCGUCAACCUAGGGAACGUAGCGUUUAUGACUGGCAGGCUAGAGUAUGGCAGAGGGGGGUGGAAUUCCACGUGUAGCAGUGAAAUGCGUAGAGAUGUGGAGGAACACCGAUGGCGAAGGCAGCCCCUCGGG
rnacentral:rRNA from 1 species